GUUCACACUACCCAUCCUACUCUUUCAAAAAUGUAUGCUAGUUUACAUUUUUAUGUAUAUUACUGUCAUACUUGCCAUAUCUAUAAUAUUCAGUACUACUACCAAUAUUGCUGCUAGUUUACAGUACUCUUUUUAAUCUGCUGCUAUGCACAAUGUUAUGUAUAUUAUUGCUUUAUCCUCUUGCUACAUUUUUGCUGUGUGUAAAUGUUUCUUAAAUUCUGUUAUGUAGUUGUAGUGUGCUAUGCUCCAUUCAUAAGCUUAUUGCACUCAUAAUAUUCUGUAUCUAUAAUAUUCAAUAGUACUACCCAGAUUGCUGCUAUUUUACAAUACUAUUUUUAAACUGCUGCUAUUGUAGUGUUAUGUAUAUUGUUGUUUCAUUUUAUUAUUUUAUUUAUUAUUAUUCUGGCAAUAUUUUGGCUUAUAUACUCUUCUUCUAGUUGUCGGGUGCCAUGUCAUAAUAAUGAUGACGCUGUGUUGUUCGGUGCAUUUGACAAAUAAACCUUGAAAUGUACAGGUUAAUGUUAGGGUUAAGGUUAGGAUACAGGUUAAUGUUAGGGUUAAGGUUAGGAUACAGGUUAAUGUUAGGGUUAAGGUUAGGAUACAGGUUAAUGUUAGGGUUAAUGUUAGGGUUAAGGUUAGGAUACAGGUUAAUGUUAGGGUUAAGGUUAGGAUACAGGUUAAGGUUAGGGUUAAUAAGGCAAAAACUGUUUCUUCCCAGAAGAUCAUGUACAAGUUGGCAGAAGCAGGAGCAAAUUUCUUCCCCAUGGCAGUGCCAUGUAUCUGGAGACCGACUUGUCAUUAAAACUAAAGUCAUUUCUAAGGAGUCUCAACUCUAACAAUUCUAAGAUCUCCUUAUCAGGGCGCUGGGAAUCAGGGAAUCUAUCAAAAGCCCCUUUGACUGCCUGUAGCCCCAAGGAAGUCUCAGUGUUUGUGUAUAGUGAGUUGAUAUCAAUUGAAAAUAGAAAUACUCCCAAUCGAAGGACAUGGUCUUUAAGCUUAGCCACAAAGUCAUAUGUAUCCAUAAUGUAAGAUGUGUGUUUUUGAGAAAGAGGACUGAUAAAACAAUCUAUAUAUUCAGCCACCCGAUACGACUUUGAACCACAAUCACUCACGAUUGGAC
ensembl:lncRNA